UGUCUUAGAUUUGUCUAGAUACGGAUGUAUCAAGUCACAUUUUAGUAUUAGAUACAUCCGUAUCUAGAUAAAUCUAAGACAAGAAAUUUGGGACAGAGGGAGUAGUUG
rnacentral:pre_miRNA from 1 species